CUGCUGAAUAAACAAUUUUAGCCUAAAUAUUUCAAGUUGGCAAUCAACUCACAAUGAGUUGCUUUUAUUAGACCAAAAUAUAUUUAUUUUCUUAUUAAUUUGCCAUAAUUCCCAUUGAUUGUGGGUAUCUGUAAUACAAUGUUACACGUUCUAAGAAAGAAAAUAUACAUAUAGCAAAAGUAGUUAUGAUAAAUCAAGAUUUUUACCCUUAACACCCUAAUACCAAAGGGUCUCAAUGUGGACUUUGAGUUGAAUGCCUUCUAACAAGGUUUCCACUAAUUAAAUACAUUAAUAUACCUCUUCUAUCUCAUCGAUUUUAUAUGUUAUCUCAUGGGUUCAGAAUUAUUUUGACUACUAUCAUCAUUUUUUUGAGGUUUUAUUUCCUCUGCCCAUAUUUUAUUGUUCUCCUACGGUUGUGUUUUCUAUCUUUAUGUGCGAAUUACAUCAUUGUCACUUUUAUUGCAACUUAUUGUGUUUUUCUAUUGCUAGUUUUUGGCCUAUUACCGAUUGCCAGAUUGUCUAUAACCGAUACUGGCAGACAGAGACAUAUUUAUGUACCACUAAGUAAUCCUUCUUUAUUUUAAGAUUUUUAUUUUAUUUUAAUAGUGUUUUAGGAUUUUUUGCUGUAGUGACAGAUUUCUGGCUCAUAGAUUUAUAUAUUUAUCUCUCGUUUAUUUUUUUACUUAUUUAUUUUUAUCCUCGUAUAUGCCAAUUAUUAUCCUAUUAUAUAUUUUUCCAUUUUUUUCAUCUCAGAAUGUGGACCUGAAUUGGAAUUUUAUUGUUUUAUUUCUGCUUUUACAUAGAAAGGUCCAAUGUUUUAACCAGUAUAGUUCUGACUUAUUAUGAAUGGAAUAGACAUAAGAAGACAAAUUAAUGGAUUUACAUUGUUUAUUUUUAUUUAUUAAUUUUUUUAUAUGUACGAUGUAUAUGUGUGAUUUAUGUAGUUGGAACAUUCAUUCAUUCGUAUUUUCUAUGUACCGAUAUAAUCACAGCUAUAGUAUUUACAUUUUGUAUGUUCAUUUUAAGUUCUAAAUUCCGAUUUGAUAUGCAAUUAUAAGCAAUUGAUGACUUGUAGGACACUGUGUAUAUAUAUACCAAUAUGGACUAAGAUUAAGACAUACCUCUGAUGAAAUAGGGCAGUACCCUAUGAAACGCAUAAGGCUGUGAAAUCAAUACGAAGAGAAGAGUUGGAGAGAACAAGUUUCUAUCCACUACACAACGUCAUUCUGGAGGCUCACCUCUUGAUGUGAGGUCGGAGGUGGAGUGCCAAAAAAUGCGGACGCCGUCCUCACCGGCUGCUGCAGUACCAACUCGGAAGGGGAAUAUCAACAUCCUCAGCCAUCCAGACGAUCGGUUCAGGUUAUAUGGUCUUUUCCCCUUCUCUUACUUCGGAACAUUUUUGUGGUAUAUGAUUUACCCAGUAUUUCAUGUUUUUAUUAGAACUAUUUAUUAUUAUUUUUAACGUGAAUAAAGCAUUUCUUUUUUGACAACACUAUUUUCUACAAGUCGUCUUGGAUGUAUAUAGACGUAAUCUAAAGUACCAUUAGGGCACCAAUACGGAAUACUUUAGUAUCUAUCCCUGUUUGCUACAGUUGCUGUUUCUGGUGGUUAGCCCAGACUUUUAUAUUGGAGAAUGUCAAUUAGGCUGUUAGUUUGUGAUACUAACAAGCCUAGAUUUUGUGUUUUAUCAUAUUGUUUAUUUUAUAUUUUAUUUUAUUUUCUUUUAUUCUUUCUUAUAUGAAUGUAGAAUAAAUUCAUAAGAACCUUAUCUGAUUCUGUAAAGGAUAUUCAAAUAGGUCAGAGGUUAUUUAUGAUACAUGCUUAAAGACUAUAUGUGCUAUAAUCAUCUGCUUGGACUGAUCCCUUAUCCAUCUACAAUUUGGACUCUUAUGCAUUGUUGAUAUAUAAGAUUAAGUAAUUGUCUAUUAACUCCUUUCUGAAUGUUUUAAGUGUUUUAGAAUUUUAGAAUUGUAUUAAUAUUGAUAUCUAUAUUUAUUCUCUAUAAUCUAUAUCAUAUAUCUAGUAUCUGUUAGUUAUAUGUUAUAAGCUCCUGGAUGCCUUUAUUUUUAUAUUUAUGAAUACUUAUGGGAUUUGAUGAAACCCCACUUUUUCCAGUUUCAGAGCUUUUAUCCUAUUCUCUGUCUUAUUCCCUCUUACAUAUUUUUUGAUAGACAUACCUUUUGACUAUCAGGACUUAUUAUUACUAUGAUAAAUCAAGAUGUCUGACAAUUGUUAACAACCCAGUAUAUGCAGUUUUAUCAUAGACUGGGUCACUUGGCAGACAGAUAUCAAGAUCUUAGGGGUUUAAAACAUUAAGAACAGAGUAUAUACUGAGAUAAAGUUUCAGUGAUAGUUUAUCAGUAUGAAGACCUUAUGAAAGCCUAGUAUCUAGUAACAUACCAACAUAUAAGAAGAUAUCGUGACCAAGGUUCUAAUUUGAUGUGCCAUGAUACUUGAUUGUGGAUUCAAAGUUGCAACAACUAUAGUCAAAGCCAAAUGAAGCAGUUUUCCCAAGUUGAGUCACAUUGGCUUUAGUUGGAUGUCCCAAAUGAAAAGGUUGUGUGGAAUUAGAACUUCAUUGCAAUUGUUCAAAAUUCCAUUUUAGUUGCAUAAAUUGUUAUUAAUAAGUCAUCUAAAAUUUCUCAGAACUGCCCAGCCCCUGGCAACUCUCCUAAUCACAUCCUUAAAUUAAAAUUUCCCUUUCGUCCAUUUUAAAUAUUGCUAUGGGUACAGCAGUGAAUUCUAAUUUAUCUAUAUUGCUGCCAGUGCUUUUGAGCCAGUUUCAUAUUUUCAGAAUCUAAUCAAACUUGGUGUCAUCAUAAUAAUCCUUAUUUUUUUUUGCUCAGGAGGGUCUUAUACAACAACAUAGUAGCAGAAUGCUUUUUUGUUUGAAGAACCUUGCAGUUAAUGUAAUAACUUUUUUGCAUCUUUUCUGUUCAAUAGCUUUGGUUACUUUUCUUCCUCACUACUUUUUGUCAAGUUUCAUAAAACUGUGGUUGUUGAUAAGGAACUCAGUGGAACAGUCCCCACGACCCUCAGGAGUACUUGAAGGUGAAAACUGGUUAGUGGUCACACAGGGGCAUUUAAAUUAAAAAAAGGCAGCGGAAUCCGAGAAGGAGGAGAUAAGAACUGAAGUCAAGUGG
rnacentral:lncRNA from 1 species